CACUGGUCGUCUCAGUACUCAGAUUGCUUCAGUUGAGCAACCCUCAACCAAGGAAGCAAACCACACUGAACCCAUUCCUACUACCAACCAAACUCCGCAGAUAUCAACCCAUUCCACACCAACCACAACAACUCCACAUAAAAGAGCAACCACUGAGAUUGAAUCAACCACUGGUCAUCUCAGUACAGAGAUUACCACGAUUGGGCAGUCCUCAACCAAAGAAGUGAACCAAACAAGACCUGUUACUAACCAAACUCCACAGAUAUCAUCUCUUUCCACCACCAGCAUCACAGUUACCCCAAACAAAAGAACCACCACUGCGGUCGAAUCAACUACUCAUCAUCACAGUACAAAGAUAACAUCGUUUCGGCAGCCUUCAACCAAAAAUGUGGACCAAACAAGACCUA